rnacentral:tRNA from 1 species
CAGGGAGACAACAAAAUGUUUAAUAUUAUUAUUUUGUCACCUUAGGUCGAUCGGUAUCUCACGUUCUUAAUUUAUUAAGAAUUUCAUUUCCUAAGUUUUUCUAGGUCACACCCAUUAUUUUUCCUGGGCCAUUAGCUCAGGUGGUUAGAGCGCACCCCUGAUAAGGGUGAGGUCCCUGGUUCAAGUCCAGGAUGGCCCAUAUCUCUAUGUUGGGGGUAUAGCUCAGUUGGUAGAGCGCCUGCUUUGCAAGCAGGAUGUCAGCGGUUCGAGUCCGCUUACCUCCACUGAUUACCACCUCUUCCAUAAUCUGUAGAAAGGAAAAUUUUUGUGUUGUGAUCCUAAUUCUGAACGAAUCUAGCUUCCUAAUGAACUCAUUAAGAUGCUGGACUCAUUGAAUUAAUUUCAUUGUUUUCAGAGAACCUUGACAACUGCAUAGAUUAUUUUUAAAGACAAUAAGCAUCUUUAAUGAUGCAGAUUUAUUAUUUGUGCAAAUGCAUUAAUAACAAUUCUAUUAAGCUGAUGCUUCAAAUUUUGAAGUUAUUG